rnacentral:rRNA from 1 species
UCUCCUGGAAAACGGGUGGUAAUGCCGGAUGUUCCACAUGAUCGCAUGUGAUUGUGGGAAAGAUUCUAUCGGCGUGGGAUGGGGUCGCGUCCUAUCAGCUUGUUGGUGAGGUAACGGCUCACCAAGGCUUCGACGGGUAGCCGGCCUGAGAGGGCGACCGGCCACAUUGGGACUGAGAUACGGCCCAGACUCCUACGGGAGGCAGCAGUGGGGAAUAUUGCACAAUGGGCGCAAGCCUGAUGCAGCGACGCCGCGUGAGGGAUGGAGGCCUUCGGGUUGUAAACCUCUUUUGUUUGGGAGCAAGCCUUCGGGUGAGUGUACCUUUCGAAUAAGCGCCGGCUAACUACGUGCCAGCAGCCGCGGUAAUACGUAGGGCGCAAGCGUUAUCCGGAUUUAUUGGGCGUAAAGGGCUCGUAGGCGGCUCGUCGCGUCCGGUGUGAAAGUCCAUCGCUUAACGGUGGAUCUGCGCCGGGUACGGGCGGGCUGGAGUGCGGUAGGGGAGACUGGAAUUCCCGGUGUAACGGUGGAAUGUGUAGAUAUCGGGAAAGAACACCA